CACCGCGGUUAUACGAGAGGCUCAAGUUGACAGACACCGGCGUAAAGCGUGGUUAGGGAAAAUUUUAAACUAAAGCCGAACAUCCUCAAAGCAGUUCAACGCUUACGAGUCAAGAAGAUCUAUCACGAAAGUAGCUUUAUCCCACCUGACCCCACGAAAGCUGUGGCA
rnacentral:rRNA from 1 species